rnacentral:rRNA from 1 species
AACCAACAGGGAUUGCCUCAGUAACGGCGAGUGAAGCGGCAAAAGCUCAAAUUUGAAAUCUUGGUCCCUUUGGGGCUACGAGUUGUAAUUUGAAGGUUGAGUUGUUUGGAUCCACAUAUUUCUAAGUCCAUUGGAACAUGGCGCCUGGGAGGGUGAGAGCCCCGUGAGAGAUAUGUUUGGUUUCAUUAUACUUCUCUUCCGAAGAGUCGAGUUGUUUGGGAAUGCAGCUCUAAGUGGGUGGUAAAUUCCAUCUAAAGCUAAAUAUUGGCGAGAGACCGAUAGCGAACAAGUACAGUGAUGGAAAGAUGAAAAGCACUUUGAAAAGAGAGUGAAAAAGUACGUGAAAUUGUUGGAAGGGAAGGGCUUGCAAGCAGACACGGUCCUCUCGGGGACUGGGCCAGCAUCGGUUGGCAAGGGGUGGAAAAGGCGGCGGGAAAUGUGACUCGGCGUCUCUGGCGCUGAGAGUUUAUAGACCCACCGAGAUACACCCACUUCCGGACCGAGGCCUGCGAUCUAAUCUAGGAUGCUGGCGUAAUGGUUGCAA